ACUCCUACGGGAGGCAGCAGUAGGGAAUCUUGCGCAAUGGGCGAAAGCCUGACGCAGCAACGCCGCGUGGGGGAUGAAGGCUCUAGGGUUGUAAACCCCUUUCAGCAGGGACGAAAAUGACGGUACCUGCAGAAGAAGCCCCGGCCAACUACGUGCCAGCAGCCGCGGUAACACGUAGGGGCGAGCGUUGUCCGGAAUUAUUGGGCGUAAAGAGCUCGUAGGCGGUUUGGUAAGUCAGAUGAUGAAAAGCUCAACGGCUCAACCUGCAGAGCAUCUGAUACUGCCCAUGACUAGAGUCCGGUAGAGGAGUGUGGAAUUUCUGGUGUAGCGGUGAAAUGCGCAGAUAUCAGAAGGAACACCAACGGCGAAGGCAGCACUCUGGGCCGGUACUGACGCUGAGGAGCGAAAGCGUGGGGAGC
rnacentral:rRNA from 1 species